UCAAUACUCAAUAUUUUAUUGGAUUACCGGGUUUUAGACAAGAGCAUGAAAAAGUAAUGAAUUAACUGCCUUCUAUGGCAGUCUUUAACUCUUUUUAAGCCAGCAAAAGCUCCGCUACUCACUCUUUUAAAUAGAUCACAGCAACUGGAAUCAGAUGGUGCCAUUCUCAUCUUGUUGCUGUAUCGAUUGAGAUGAGAGGAGCUUCUCCGAGUCCCGUGGAGCCCAGACUCCGUUUGUCUGCUUCAGCUAAAGCUUGGGAGUUCAAUCGGGUGGUGGCUGGCCAGAGGAUGCUGCCUGCGAGUGGCAAUUGGCGACGCGAAUGCUAGGGCUUCAAUUUCGUUUUGUGAGAAUCUGAGAUUGUGUUCUGUUGAGUGCUGUCACUGUUGUGUAUUGUGUUUUCAUCUUGAAAUCCAACGGUGGUAAUUAGAUGGUGAGAGAUCAAUGGCUUACAAAAUUUCAUAGAAAUAAUUUAAUGAAAAUAAUUUUUGCAAAA